CCUACGGGAGGCAGCAGGCCAAGCCCAAACUCAAAGGAAUUGACGGGAAUUUUGGACAAUGGGCGCAAGCCUGAUCCAGCAAUGCCGCGUGUGUGAUGAAGGCCUUCGGGUUGUAAAGCACUUUUGGCGGGAACGAAAAGGACUGUGCCAAUACCACGGUUCGAUGACGGUACCCGCAGAAUAAGCACCGGCUAACUACGUGCCAGCAGCCGCGGUAAUACGUAGGGUGCGAGCGUUAAUCGGAAUUACUGGGCGUAAAGAGUGCGCAGGCGGUUUUGCAAGACCGAUGUGAAAUCCCCGGGCUUAACCUGGGAACUGCAUUGGUGACUGCAAGGCUAGAGUGUGUCAGAGGGAGGUGGAACUCCGCAUGUAGCAGUGAAAUGCGUAGAUAUGCGGAAGAACACCGAUGGCGAAGGCAGCCUCCUGGGAUAACACUGACGCUCAUGCACGAAAGCGUGGGGAGCAAACAGGAUUAGAUACCCUGGUAGUCCACGCCCUAAACGAUGUCUACUAGUUGUCGGGGAUUAAUUUCCUUAGUAACGCAGCUAACGCGUGAAGUAGACCGCCUGGGGAGUACGGUCGCAAGAUUAAAACUCAAAGGAAUUGACGG
rnacentral:rRNA from 1 species